rnacentral:lncRNA from 1 species
AAUGACUCAGCUGAGCUCAAUGAAGCCAAAACAUGUGCGUCCAGGCUUAAUUGGUUGCACAAAGACCAAGCCAGGAUGAGCAGACACGGAUUCAUUAAGCCAGGUGAAACCAAUCCUGGAUAGGUGCGCGCUCACGGCUCACUCAAAUAGACCCCGCCACAGAUCACAGAUUAACUGAUUUACCAUGGCAACUAGAGCCGCGUACUUUUCCCCGUCGGAAGCACAAAUCCUCAUGGAGGCAUACGAGGAGGUAAAAUAUAUAAUUAAGAAGAAAGGCAACACCGCCACAGUGAUAAAGCAAAGAGAAAAAGCGUGGCAAAGUAUUGCAGACCGCCUGAAUGCAUUAAACAUGAACGGGCCAAAACGGACAUGGCAGCAGGUCAAAAUCAAAUACAAGAACAUUCUGCAGAAUGCAGUGAAAAAGAAUACCCACAGACAAGGCACGGGUGGUGGGUCACCAAAGGCUGACCUUACCCCAGCAGAGGACAUGGCCUUGGAGCUAAAUAAAGGCAGGCCCGUCUUAGAGGGGAUCCCUGGGGGGAAAGAGACGAGCAUAGGUUCCUCCCAAGAUGCCACCCGCUUCAUUCAAGUGUCUGGCAGCACUGUGUUCCUGUUAGAGCCACCAGCACAAGCACCAGACGAUGCUGAUCCAGGUGAAGGCCCCAGUGCAGCAGCAACAGCACAUGAUGGAGACGAUGAUGAGGAGGAGACCAUCUCUCUGGAUUCCAGAAGGCAUGAGGACCCAGAUGCUAUACAGUGGGAAAACCAGCCUGGCAACAUAGUGCGUAUUAAUAAAAGGACACCACAUCCUGCCAAAUUCCAGCUGCGCUAAUUGUAUUGUGUUCACAGAGCUCACAAGCUAUCAGAAAGUUGUAUGGCAACCACCUCCGGCGCCAAAUAGAACUGGCAGACAUAGACAUUCAGUACAAGAAGAAAAAGAUGGAAAAUCUUGCACUGGAGUCCGAAAUAAAAAAGAGGACAAUUAGGAAACUGGACCUUGAAAUAAAAAAACUUGAGAGGGAGCUCCAAGAAGAUGACACAGCUCAAAAUAAAAAUUAGCAAUCAGUACAACCAAGUCAUCGUUAUAAGGCAUCGCCCUCUUUUGCCCACCCCCC